rfam:Bombyx mori DNA, contig: Bm_scaf76_contig31932, strain: p50T/Dazao, build 2, whole genome shotgun sequence.
UUAACUCAAAUUUGUAUGGAGUUGGAACAUUUGCCGCUAGGGGUACUGUUCCUACUACAUACAAAUUUGAGUUA